rnacentral:rRNA from 1 species
CAAUAGCGUAUAUUUAAGUUGCUGCAGUUAAAAAGCUCGUAGUUGGAUUUCGGGGGGGAAUGGCCGGUCCGCCGUUUCGGUGUGCACUUGCUACGCCCACCUUGCUGCCGGGGACGUGCUCUUGAGUUCACGCUCGGGACACGGAGUCGGCGAGGUUACUUUGAGUAAAUUAGAGUGUUCAAAGCAGGCCUACGCUCUGAAUACAUUAGCAUGGAAUAACACGAUAGGACUCUGGCCUAUCUUGUUGGUCUGUAGGACCGGAGUAAUGAUUAAGAGGGACAGUCGGGGGCAUUCGUAUUUCAUUGUCAGAGGUGAAAUUCUUGGAUUUAUGAAAGACGAACUACUGCGAAAGCAUUUGCCAAGGAUGUUUUCAUUAA